rnacentral:rRNA from 1 species
ACGCUCGACACCUACGGGAAGCAGCAGUGGGGAAUAUUGCACAAUGGGGGAAACCCUGAUGCAGCGACGCCGCGUGAAGGAAGAAGUAUCUCGGUAUGUAAACUUCUAUCAGCAGGGAAGAAAAUGACGGUACCUGACUAAGAAGCCCCGGCUAACUACGUGCCAGCACGCCGGACGGUAAUCUGGAGGCGGGCGUGGACGAAGGC